rnacentral:rRNA from 1 species
GAUGAACGCUGGCGGCGUGCUUAACACAUGCAAGUCGAACGAGAAGUGGAGACGGACACCUUCGGGCGGAAGACUUUACUUCGAGUGGCGGACGGGUGAGUAACGCGUGGGUAACCUGCCCCAUACAGGGGGAUAACAGUUGGAAACGACUGUUAAUACCGCAUAAGACCACAGCACCGCAUGGUGCGGGGGUAAAAACUCCGGUGGUAUGAGAUGGACCCGCGUUCGAUUAGCCAGUUGGCGGGGUAACGGCCCACCAAAGCGACGAUCGAUAGCCGAUCUGAGAGGAUGACCGGCCACAUUGGGACUGAGACACGGCCCAAACUCCUACGGGAGGCAGCAGUGGGGAAUAUUGCACAAUGGGGGAAACCCUGAUGCAGCGACGCCGCGUGAGUGAAGAAGUAUUUCGGUAUGUAAAGCUCUAUCAGCAGGGAAGAAAAUGACAGUACCUGAGUAAGAAGCCCCGGCUAACUACGUG